GAUGAACGCUAGCGGCAGGCCUAAUACAUGCAAGUCGGACGGGAUUCCGGAGCUUGCUUCUGAUGAGAGUGGCGCACGGGUGCGUAACACGUAUGUAACCUACCUUUAUCAGGGGGAUAGCCUCCCGAAAGAGAGAUUAAGCCCGCAUAAAAUCACAGCACAGCAUUGUGUAAUGAUCAAAUAUUUAUAGGUUAAAGAUGGGCAUGCGGAACAUUAGCUAGAUGGCGGGGUAACGGCCCACCAUGGCGACGAUGUUUAGGGGAGCUGAGAGGAUGGCCCCCCACAAUGGUACUGAGGCACAGACCACACUGGGAGGGAGCGGAGGGGAAAGGAGUAUUAAGCGAGGAAGGGAAGCCUGGAACAGCCAUGCCGCGUACAGGAAGACGGGGCUAGGAGUUGUAAACUGCUUUUAUAGAAGAAUAAACCCAGAUACGUGUAUCUGGCUGAAUGUACUGUAAGAAUAAGGAUCGGCUAACUCCGUG
rnacentral:rRNA from 1 species